ACGAACGCUGGCGGCGUGCUUAACACCUGCCAGUCGCACGGAAAGGCCCUGCUUUUGUGGGGUGCUCGAGUGGCGAACGGGUGAGUAACACGUGAGUAACCUGCCCCUGACUUUGGGAUAACUUCAGGAAACUGGGGCUAAUACCGGAUAGGAGCUCCUGCUGCAUGGUGGGGGUUGGAAAGUUUCGGCGGUUGGGGAUGGACUCGCGGCUUAUCAGCUUGUUGGUGGGGUAGUGGCUUACCAAGGCUUUGACGGGUAGCCGGCCUGAGAGGGUGACCGGCCACAUUGGGACUGAGAUACGGCCCAGACUCCUACGGGAGGCAGCAGUGGGGAAUAUUGCACAAUGGGCGGAAGCCUGAUGCAGCAACGCCGCGUGCGGGAUGACGGCCUUCGGGUUGUAAACCGCUUUCGCCUGUGACGAAGCGUGAGUGACGGUAAUGGGUAAAGAAGCACCGGCUAACUACGUG
rnacentral:rRNA from 1 species